AGCAUCUCCAUUCAGAAGGGCUCCCAGUGGUAAUUUGGAAGGGCAGCAUCCCCGUUCGGGAGGACAACAUUCCGAUUUGGAUGAGCAGCAUUCCCAUUCAGAAGGGCUCCCUCAUCUUUUGUAGGAGCAGCAUUCCCUUUCAGCGUCUCCUGCUCAUUUGGGUUCUGCACAUCUGCGUUCUGAGGUUUAAAGUAUGGAAGAAGAAAUUAAGUGUCACGACUCCCACCGAAGGUGGUUCCUCUCCCUGUUCAGGCGGGGCUCGGUGGCCUACUAGCCAUCAUCGAUCCAUGCUUCCUUUUCUGAUUGUUUUGUCUUUGGUUCAUUCACACCUGGUUUUCAUUUGCUUUAAUUUCUGUGUGUAUAUUUACCCCUGUUUCCCCGCUUAGGUUUGUGCGGGAUUAUUUUCUUGUUUCUUGUGGAGGCUUUCCUCAGUGUAUUUCGCGUGUGUUUAGUAUUGUAGGUGCGUUGUUUAUUUGCGCUUUACGGGAGUACUGUUAGUUCCCAUCGUCUUGGGUGUUGUUUUGGGGUAUUGUACUGUACCGUUUUUUGGGAUUUGCCCUUUUUAAAAUAUACGCUACACUGACAUCUCUGCUCUCCUGCUUUUGACUCCUUACCUACCUACCUUCAGUGCGUAAACGCAACAUUAAGAGAGAGUAUGGAGGUGUAAAUCACAGAAUGAACUCAGGACACAGCAAAGGAGUGAGAUUAUGGAGAGACAGCUAGUGCCAUCCGAGUUAUAUUCUUUAUGUAACAUAUUCUUUAUGUACCCUGCUGCUCUUUUGUCUCUGUAGAGAACAUCAUAAUGCAUGUUGAAUGAAUACCCAUGUAAAUUAACAGCAGUAUGUAUUUCGAUGGAAUCUACUCUAGUCUGGCCCAGGGGUGUGAAGGUGAACGGAAAGGCACUGCAGCGACGAACCGUCCUUGCUGUCUCUGCCUGGCUGGUUCCCCUCUCUCCACUGGGAUUCUCUGCCUCUAACCCUAUUACGGGGGCUGAGUCACUGGCUUACUGGUGCUCUUCUAUGCCGUCCCUAGGAGGGGUUUGUGCCGUGGGGGAGAUCUUCGUGGGCUGUACUCAGCCUUGUCUCAGGGUAGUAAAUUGGUGGUUUGAAGAUAUCCCUCUGGUGGUGUGGGGGCUGUGCUUUGGCAAAGUGGGUGGGGUUAUAUCCUGCCAGGUUGGCCCUGUCCGUGGGUAUCGUCAGACGGGGCCACAGUGUCUCCCGAUCCAUCCUGUCUCAGCCGCCAGUAUUCAUGCUGCAGUAGUUUAUGUGUCGGGGGCUAGGGUCAGUCUGUUAUAUCUGGAGUACUUCUCCUGUCUUAUCCGGUGUCCUGUGUGAAUUUAAGUAUGCUCCCUCUAAUUCUUUCUCUCUCUCAAUCCAUUUCAAGGGGCUUUACUGGCAUGGGAAACAUAUGUUAAGAUUACCAAAUCAGGUGAAGUAGAUAAUAAACAAAAGGGAAAUAAACAAUAAAAAUGAACAGUAAACAUUACACUCACAGAAGUUCCAAAAGAAUAAAGACAUUUCAAAUGUCAUACGCCUCUCUCUCUCUUUCUCUUCUCUCGGAGGACCUGAGCCCUAGGACCAUGCCUCAGGACUACCUGGCCUGAUGACUCCUGGCAGUCCCCAGUCCAUCUGGCCGUGCUGCUGCUCCAGUUUCAGCUGUUCUGCCUGCGGCUAUGGAACCCUGACCUGUUCACCGGAUGUGCUACCUUGUCCUGGACCUGCUGUUUUUGACCCUCUCUCUCUACCGCACCUGCUGUCUCUAACUCUGAAUGACAGGCUAUGAAAAGCAUACACACAAAUUUGUCCUGAGUUGCUGACCUGUUGCACCCUCUACAACCACUAUUAUUAUUACUAUUUGACCCUGCUGGUCAUCUUUGAACGUUUGAACAUCUUGGCCAUGUACUGUUAUAAUCUCCACCCGGCACAGCCAGAAGUGGACUGGCCACCCAUCAGAGCCUGGUUCCUCUCUAGGUUUCUUCUUAGGUUCCUGCCUUUCUAGGGAGUUUUUCCUAGUCACCAUGCUUCUACAUCUGCAUUUCUUGCUGUUUGGGGUGUCUGUAUAGGACUUUGUGACAUCAGCUGAUGUAAAAAAAUCUUUAUAAAUACAUUUGAUUGAUUGAUAUAUCUACUUUAAUAAGAAUCUAGAAACAUAUGCCAGACUAGAGAAAACAUUUUCUGUGUAGUGUUAAACAGUAGCACAAAAAAACGGUGGAGAUAUUAUCAAAAACAACUGAAACAAAUUUUCAGUCAGUAACCCUGUGCAUUAUGUUGAAUAUAAUAAUCUGUCUGUACACAAUGUAAGCUAAAUCUGGUUUAACAACAGAUAUUUUUUUAUAAAUUCCACUGCUAACA
ensembl:lncRNA